UAAUUUAUUGGGUUGAAGUUUAGGCACCCACCUGCUCCUACCGGGGGGAGUAGGUGUGCAGACACUGGGUAUGAUCCCUCCCAGCAUCCCAGGGACCAGCCUGCCUCCGUGCCAAGGUCUGGAAGCGGAGCAGGAGCCCAAGCAGAGACCUCUGCUCUCCCAACGCUCCAGCAUCCCUGCAGUCCAUGUGGGUUGGCUGGCUCUGACUGGACAACCACUGGCAGCCUGGGCUCCUUCCAAAGUUCGUUUGCAAACGAGUUGUCAGCUCCUCACCACAGCCCAAGUCUGCAACAGAUCUUCAGAGUGAGCAGCUUUUACAUAAACACAGCCUUUGAUGUCAGCAGGACACUCA